GUUGUUUGCCAGAGUACUGUCAAUGUGAAUGUUCAUGUCUCCCAUGACAAUCAGUGGUGUGCCAUCAUCAGGGAUGUCAGAGAGUAACAUGUCCAUUUCAGAGACAAAGCCAUCCAGAUUACCCCCUGGUGGGCGGUACACAACCAGAAUAUAUGCUUUGAUGAUGCUUUUAUGUCUGUAUGUCUUCAUCAUGUCUGUAUGUCUUCAUCAUGUCUGUAUGUGUACAUGUACACAUAUAUGUAUAUGUAAUUGUAUGGGGGCAGAGGGGUGCUGAUAACGUGUCGGGGGCCUCUGGUUACGUACGGAUGAACCGCUUUAAACCGGUCGUUGAAAUGGGAUAAAUAUUAAGAAAAACGUUGAAAACGUGUCAGAACAGACGUGUUAUCAGGAGACGUGAAUCAACAUGUGAUUUUAUGUUCUGUGACUGUCGAACGGCACUUUCUUUUUUGGCUGUGUUUAUGUAUUUAUUGAUUAUUCGGUGACUGUGGCGGUUUUGUGUCCUCAGAGUUCUUUGUCUCUCCUGUUCACGUCCCAAAAUGUUGCGACGCACAGUCGGGCCCGGGGAAACACAAGCUGCUGCCGUUGGACGACCGAGACGAGCCGAAGAGGAGGAACUGCAGAGACGAUGACGAGCCGGGCGUGCUGUCGGACUCGGAGAACGAGGAGCCGGUUGGCAGGAGGAUCAGAAACAUUUCGGCCUUCGUCAGGAAAACCAAAAACUGCGCAGCUUUCACGGGGUGAGCACAAGUCGCUGCGUCCUCAAAG